rnacentral:rRNA from 1 species
GAUGAACGCUGGCGGCGUGCCUAAUACAUGCAAGUCGAGCGAACAGAUAAGGAGCUUGCUCCUUGACGGUUGCGGCGGGCGGGGGAGUAACAAGUGGGUAACCUACCUAUAAGAACGGGGAAAAUUUGGGAAACCGGAGCUAAUAACGGGAAAAAUUUUGAACCCGAUGGGUUUAAAGGGAAAGGAGGUUUUGCUUACCACUAUAGAUGGACCCGCGCCGUAUUAGCUAGUUGGUAAGGUAACGGCUUACCAAGGCGACGAUACGUAGCCGACCUGAGAGGGUGAUCGGCCACACUGGAACUGAGACACGGUCCAGACUCCUACGGGAGGCAGCAGUAGGGAAUCUUCCGCAAUGGGCGAAAGCCUGACGGAGCAACGCCGCGUGAGUGAUGAAGGGUUUCGGCUCGUAAAACUCUGUUAUUAGGGAAGAACAAAUGUGUAAGUAACUGUGCACGUCUUGACGGUACCUAAUCAGAAAGCCACGGCUAACUACGUG